CAGGGCAACCCACUUCACUGUGUUGUGGUGCUGUGUGUGGGGGAGGGGUCAGAGAGGGAAUAAUGCUGCUUUCUUGGCUCUGGCCAGCUUUCAGUCACUUCCCCUACUACCCAUGAGGGAAUUGUGCCCUCUCAGGUGCUGCCCUUGUGAUUCCUGGGUGGGUGGAUUUGUGUACGUUCUAGGACCUGUGGGCCCCUCCAGUAGACUCUCCUGUGAGACUGGCAGUUUCUCCUGCUGUUGCAACCCCCACAGGUUUUUAUAGCCAGAGGCUUUGAAGCUUUCUCUUCCUGUGCUGGAACGCUGGGUUGGCAGUCUAUCUUACUCCCCAGUUCUUCCUCCUGGUUUAUCUGCCACUUGAA